rnacentral:rRNA from 1 species
GCAGGGCGGAGGUUUCUAUACAUGCAUGUCGAACGAUGAAGCCCAGCUUGCUGGGUGGAUUAGUGGCGAACGGGUGAGUAACACGUGAGUAACCUGCCCCUGACUCUGGGAUAAGCCCGGGAAACUGGGUCUAAUACCGGAUAUGACUUUUGACCGCAUGGUUGAGGGUGGAAAGAUUUAUCGGUUGGGGAUGGACUCGCGGCCUAUCAGCUUGUUGGUGAGGUAAUGGCUCACCAAGGCGACGACGGGUAGCCGGCCUGAGAGGGUGACCGGCCACACUGGGACUGAGACACGGCCCAGACUCCUACGGGAGGCAGCAGUGGGGAAUAUUGCACAAUGGGCGCAAGCCUGAUGCAGCGACGCCGCGUGAGGGAUGACGGCCUUCGGGUUGUAAACCUCUUUCAGUAGGGAAGAAGCGAGAGUGACGGUACCUGCAGAAGAAGCGCCGGCUAACUACGUGCCAGCAGCCGCGGUAAUACGUAGGGCGCAAGCGUUAUCCGGAUUUAUUGGGCGUAAAGAGCUCGUAGGCGGUUUGUCGCGUCUAUCGUGAAAGUCCGAGGCUCAACCUCGGAUCUGCGGUGGGUACGGGCAGACUAGAGUGAUGUAGGGGAGACUGGAAUUCCUGGUGUAGCGGUGAAAUGCGCAGAUAUCAGGAGGAACACCGAUGGCGAAGGCAGGUCUCUGGGCAUUUACUGACGCUGAGGAGCGAAAGCAUGGGGAGCGAACAGGAUUAGAUACCCUGGUAGUCCAUGCCGUAAACGUUGGGCACUAGGUGUGGGGGGACAUUCCACGUUUUCCGC